UACAUGGGGUGCAAACGUUGCUCGGAAUUAUUGGGCGUAAAGCGCACGUAGGCGGUUCGUUAAGUCGGAUGUGAAAGCCCUCGGCUCAACUGAGGAAGUGCACCCGAAACUGGCGAGCUUGAGUACGAAAGAGGAUCGCGGAAUUCCCGGUGUAGAGGUGAAAUUCGUAGAUAUCGGGAGGAACACCGGUGGCGAAGGCGGCGAUCUGGGUCGAUACUGACGCUGAGGUGCGAAAGCGUGGGGAGCAAAGCAGG
rnacentral:rRNA from 1 species